UGGGGAAUAUUGCACAAUGGGCGAAAGCCUGAUGCAGCAACGCCGCGUGAGUGAUGAAGGUCUUCGGAUUGUAAAGCUCUGUCUUUUGGGACGAUAAUGACGGUACCAAAGGAGGAAGCCACGGCUAACUACGUGCCAGCAGCCGCGGUAAUACGUAGGUGGCGAGCGUUGUCCGGAUUUACUGGGCGUAAAGGGUGCGUAGGCGGAUGUUUAAGUGAGAUGUGAAAUACCCGGGCUUAACUUGGGUGCUGCAUUUCAAACUGGAUAUCUAGAGUGCAGGAGAGGAGAAUGGAAUUCCUAGUGUAGCGGUGAAAUGCGUAGAGAUUAGGAAGAACACCAGUGACGAAGGCGAUUCUCUGGACUGUAACUGACGCUGAGGCACGAAAGCGUGGGUAGCAAACAGGAUUAGAUACCCUGGUAGUCCACGCCGUAAACGAUGAGUACUAGGUGUAGGAGGUAUCGACCCCUUCUGUGCCGCAGUAAACAC
rnacentral:rRNA from 1 species